AUUGAACGCUGGCGGCAGGCCUAACACAUGCAAGUCGAGCGCGAAAGUUCUUCGGAAUGAGUAAAGCGGCGGACGGGUGAGUAAUACAUGGGAACCUGCCUGGUAGUGGGGGACAACGUUUCGAAAGGAACGCUAAUACCGCAUACGCCCUACGGGGGAAAGGGGGGGAGUCUUCGGACCUCUCGCUAUCAGAUGAGCCC
rnacentral:rRNA from 1 species